UACGGAGGGUGCAAACGUUGCUCGGAAUCAUUGGGCGUAAAGCGCACGUAGGUGGUCUGUUAAGUCGGAUGUGAAAGCCCUGGGCUCAACCCAGGAAGUGCAUUCGAAACUGGCAGGCUUGAGUAUGGAAGAGGGUCGCGGAAUUCCCGGUGUAGAGGUGAAAUUCGUAGAUAUCGGGAGGAACACCAGUGGCGAAGGCGGCGACCUGGGCCAAUACUGACACUGAGGUGCGAAAGCGUGGGGAG
rnacentral:rRNA from 1 species